CCCUCUUUCAUACAAAUUGGGAAACCAACGCGCGGAAGGUUUCUCGUGAUAUAUUUUCGGAAAAUCAACGUUUUAAAACCACUGUCCUUACUAAUCUACUCAAAUAAAUACUCAUUUUAGACUGUGUGUGUUCAUAAUAGUAAUUUUGUGAGUUCCAGUAUAAUAUUCGCUUGAAAGGUGUGACUAAAAAUAGAUGGUAUCCCGACUUAAGUACUUGGAAUUCUUAGUUUGAGCUUCCCAUUCAUAAAAUACAUUCACUUGGUGCUGAGCUGUGAAGUAACUCAGGUCGUUGGUUAUCUUAUAGUGAAUAAUUAAUCUGACUGAAGUUUAGAAUACUGUGUGGAGACAAAUCGAUAGGGGGUGGCCUCUGGACUUACAGUUCACGAACGGAAACAGGACAGAAGGAAAAUGGCGACGGAGGGUGGUCUGGCGCCAGCCGGGGACGGCGACAUGCCCGUCGGCGGGCCCAAGACCCCGCAGCAGAUAGCGGCCCAACGUCGACUCCAGCAGACGCAGGCCCAGGUUGAUGAGGUGGUGGACAUCAUGAAGACCAAUGUGGAGAAGGUGCUGGAGCGAGAUCAGAAACUGUCCGAGCUAGAUGACAGAGCAGACGCUUUGCAGCAGGGUGCAUCGCAGUUUGAACAGCAGGCUGGAAAACUGAAAAGCAAAUUCUGGUUGCAGAACUUAAAGAUGAUGAUAAUCGCAGCCGUCAUUGGAAUCAUAAUUUUGGCCCUAAUCAUCGCCAACUUUGUGUGAACAAGUUUCGGUAACCGCAGUUUAAGUUAAAAGUUAAUGUUAAUAAUUAAAACCUAUGUUAUUUAUACAAAAAUACACAAUGGUUUGACUUAAAGCCUUUUUUAUUGGUCUGUAAAUUAUAUACUGGAGGAUUGCAGCAAAAAUAUAAUGAAAGAGGUUUAUGAUUUCUACUAUCAUGAAGAUCAACAUCAUCCUAAUGAAAGCGAAAAAUUUUACAUACAACCAGUAGAUACUACUUUUGUUAUAAAUAUCCAAAAAUUCACUCGCCAUCCAUUCAGUAUAAAAAUUAUGUGUAAAACACGCAUUUAUUUUAAAUACCUAAUCUAAUCUGAACGUAAUUUAAACCCGUGAUGAAAUAGUGUAUAUUUUAGAUGAACUUUCUUUUUGAAAAUUUACCGUUUUACCGUCACUGUACGCUUAGAUAAGGCUUAUCGAAGACAUUCAUAUCCGAAAGGCUAAUAUUUUGUUCAAGAACGCAUAUUUUGUUCAAUUUGGACCAAAUUUCCUAAAUCGAUUGUUACUAAGCAUUUAUUUUUGUAUCUUCUUCUUAUAACUUUAUUUACGACACUUUUUAAUCGUUGAUCUUUGAUAUAAUCAUACUAUAUGCGUCAUUUUAAUAGAUGUUAAAUAAAAUAGGUGAAAAUAGCUUAGAUAAAAAAACAGUCACAACCCGAGUAACAUAUGUAGCUAAUGACAAGAUUUUAGACAUCAAGGGAUGUUUUUAUUUUUAGAAUUUUCAAAUAUAAUGUUGUACUUACAUCAGCUGAUUUUUAGAUGUCUUUAUUUAUAUAUGUUGUUUAUAUAUCACAUCUAAUUCUAGUUCUUGUUUGUUACUUGAAAUACAUGCAAAUAAAGUGUAGGUAAGUAAACCAUUACUUUUAAUUUCAUUAGGCUAAGGGCCUAAAUCGCGCGCUACCUAAAUGUUAACAAACCACGGUAUCUAUAUACUCUUCAUGAAUCCUAUCAAUGGACAAAACAAUCAUAUCAGCCUAAAUAUCCCAAAAUUGUGAAAUAAAUUUCAUCGUUACACGUUUUUAUCCCAAAAAACAGUAUAAAAUGUAUUUAAUCAGAUAAAUUACCAAAUUGUUUUAAUUUUGAAAGUAAACUAAUAUCUUAAUAUACACCGGUAAGUAUAUCUAUUUGAAUCGAAGAUUUGUACGUAUUCGAGUUGUUAUAUAAAUAAGUAAUAGUAUGUAGUACCUAUUAAUAAUACUUACUUAUAUAAGAUUGCAUUAUAUUCAUUAGCAUUAUUUUGACGUUGGCGAUUUUGAACAGAAAUUAGAAAGUGGUUUCAUUUUACUCUUCGAUUGUCCUUAAUUAAUCAUAGCAAUAAAGAAUUCGAUUUCAAGUUUCAUUCAGAAAUUUUUAUUUUUUAUAUUAUAUAUAUCUAUCAUCCUGUAUUUUAUUUCCGAAUGGCCAGUGGCAUUUGAAGAUUUAAAAUAAAUAUGUAAUCAAACAUCGCUAAUCUGUGUGUAUAGGGUAUGUAAAAUGGCUUCAUAGUUAGACUUUAAAAAAUCAUCUACCUACUUAGCUAAAAUGCGAAGUUAAUCGAAUCAAAACAUAUUGUUAUUACAUAAGGGAUAUUUGGCCAGUAUGAUACUUAUAAAUAUGUUUAACAACAUAUAAGUUAUUAAUCAUAAUUUUGAGUAUGGUUGUAGGUACUUAAAUUAUUUCAUGUUUAUUUAAAUAUAAUCGUAAAUUUUGGUUAUAAGUAUUCAUACCAAAAUUUAACAUCAUCUAGUCGUAAUCCAUAAUAAUCUUAAAUUUUAAAACACAAUAUGAGAUAGACCUACGUAGAACCUAAUAAAAAUCGUACCGCCAUCGAGAUUCCUAUUUAAUUAUAAUUCGAUCACGGAAUUUGACGGGACUCAACAGAGUCCCGAUUUCAUAAAUUUUCUUAAGAAAUUAUCUUUAAAUAAUUAUUUGCUUUGAUUAAACUUUUUUCUUCUUUUAGUCACACACAACUGUGUUUUAAAAAUUAAGAGGUAAAGUUGUUCACUGUAAGGUAAACAAAAACACACCAGAAUGUAUGUUAAAUUAGCUAUAAGUACUUAUUGUUGAUAAACAAAAUUACCUACCUAUCAUUGUUUUAAAGUCAAUACAAAAAUAAUUAUUUUGUUGACAACAAAUUGUUUUGUUGUCAAAUUAACCUACCAACUUCGUUCUGGUUACAUUGGUUGGCGACAAUGAUAGAUGUUUUCGGGUACUUAUUGAUUCUGUUUGUUACGAUUAAAAAAAACUCUAUAAUGUAGGUAAUGUAAUGCUUGUACUUAGUCUUAUCGAUAGGAUCUUCAAGUAUAUAUUUUAUUCGUUUUUUCUGUAACUUUGAUUUAUGCUUUCUUUAUGUUGUAUAAUGAAAUCAACAGUCAUCAAGAUACAGCUAAAAACAUUACCGUAAUUUGCGUCUCGCUGUCGGGUAAAAAGAGGCCUUCUAUAAAUGAAGUUACACGCGACUUUUUUGUCGUGCGUUUUAUUGAAUUAGAAGAAUAAUUUAAUUGUGCCGACAUGCAUGCCGAACUAAGCAAGAUUGACUUCAAAGUCAAGUCCAAGUUUCCAGGCAAAUAGUUCGGACUUGAAAAAAAUUGGGUUGUGUAGUUAGGUACAUGUUACCACUCAAAAAAUGAUGACACAAAAAAGGUUGAAAAGCUGCAUAUAAUGUGAGCCAAUCUAGGAAAUGAGACGAAAACAUAUAGAAUUUUACUCGUAUAGAUCGUAACAAUCAAGGAUUUUAAAAUCAUUUGAUAAAAAUAUAAUUUUACAAAGACCUAACGCGCCACGGCACACUAGAUUUUUUUAAAACUUGUGCCGCGCCUGUGCGUAUGUGCUAUAUGGGUCAAUAGCUGUAUGGGCUUAGAUCCCUUUCCUUAUGGAUAAAUUAAACCAAAAAAAAUAUGGUCAUAAUGGCAUGGAUUUAGUAAGUACUUGUUUCUAAUUCCAUGGGUAUUGGUCACUAGAAUCUAUCUUAGGUGUGUUUAACAACGAAUUUUGUAAACAAAAUUUAUUUACAAGUUAUGUGGAAUAGGAGUCAAAAAGGCGCAAAUAAGUAAUAGUGCAUCCUGACCCAAAUGUCAAAUGAUUUUAAGAACAGAUAUAAUACCUUCAUAAGAACAGUUAAUACUUGCUUAUGUAACAAUAGAAUUAAAUAAUGUAAAGUACGUAGUUUUAGCACCAAUUUUCUUAGUUUAGUUAAUUCACGUAACCAACGUUAUUUCCUAUUUGAUAUAUUUUGGGAGGAAGAGGGACAGUAGAAAAAAAAUUAGGAAAAAUUAUUAAUCUAUUGAAAUAUCUCGUUUGGAUAAUGAAUGGUUAUUAAAAUGUUAUAUCUUGAUCCUACGGAUAUUGUUGUAAAAUGUAAGUAAGUACUUAACACGAUUUUAUUUAAUAAUCAUAUCCAAUGUAUCCUCAAAUGGAAUACUUAUAUUAAUAAUCAUAUGUGUGUAACUGGUUUAGAGUCGAUUUGUUGUUCAGUGUAUUACAUUACAGAGGUGAAGCCGGAAUUCUAGACUUACUCGGGAAUUUAAUUACCUACUGAAUGUAUGUACCUAUGUACCAAAAUGUAAUUAUUGCUUCACUAAAAUAAAAGCAAGUUUAAUAAAUUGACUGCUGUUUCAUUUUA